rnacentral:rRNA from 1 species
GACGAACGCUGGCGGCGUGCUUAACACAUGCAAGUCGAACGGUAAGGCCCUUCGGGGUACACGAGUGGCGAACGGGUGAGUAACACGUGGGUGAUCUGCCCUGCACUUCGGGAUAAGCCUGGGAAACUGGGUCUAAUACCGGAUAGGACUCCGGACUGCAUGGUCUGGGGUGGAAAGCUUUUGCGGUGUGGGAUGGGCCCGCGGCCUAUCAGCUUGUUGGUGGGGUGAUGGCCUACCAAGGCGACGACGGGUAGCCGGCCUGAGAGGGUGACCGGCCACACUGGGACUGAGAUACGGCCCAGACUCCUACGGGAGGCAGCAGUGGGGAAUAUUGCACAAUGGGCGCAAGCCUGAUGCAGCGACGCCGCGUGAGGGAUGACGGCCUUCGGGUUGUAAACCUCUUUCAGCACAGACGAAGCGCAAGUGACGGUAUGUGCAGAAGAAGGACCGGCCAACUACGUGCCAGCCGCCGCCGUAA